rnacentral:rRNA from 1 species
AAGUGGCUAAAAUGAAUGCCAGCAGCCGCGGUUAGAUUCACGCUUUGUUAAAUCUUGACGGUUUUAUUAGACGCAUGAAGUAGAAUAGCUUUAGUCGGCAUGGAGUAGGGGUGUAAUCUUAUUUCUAACAGCUUGGAUCAGAUGAAGUUAUGAUGUUUCUUAUGAAAGUGUGGGUAAAAACCGGGAUUUGAUACCCCGUUAUUCAUGAGGUAAAAUAAGAUUACCGGAUGACUAAAAGUUGGUUCUUCAAAGUUAAAUGAAUAGGCGGCCUCCAACAAACAUACAGGGGAAUCUGGGAGUUAAAAGAUGGUCCGCUUACAUUUGUUCUUUAUCUUAUUUUGCAUAUGUAUGGUUGUUUACGAAUCAAUACGCGUAAGAUAUUGGUGAAGUUUUUACUACCCUUUGGGCAGUAAGAAGUAAUUCAGAUUAACAUGUAGCUAUGAUAGAGCCAUUCUGGAUGACAAUUGGGAAAUCACUUACACACCUAACAGUGGAUGUGUAGCGUCGGCCAAGAGGUUUGAAAAUUCU